rnacentral:lncRNA from 1 species
AAGGCAUUUCCUAGGCAGGGAGCCUGGCAAGAGGCUUCUCUUUCUGAGCAUAAAGCAUUUCGAAACUCCAGGAAGGAGUCACAAGAUUAAAAGGCACCUGGACCACAGAAGGAAAAAAAAAAAGAAAACCUGCUCUGGGUUUGUACAUGAGCAAGGAACAGGAAUUAUUUCUCAAGCCACUGAAAAUACAGUUUGAUGACGGCAACAGGUGGAGUUACCAUAACAAUCCGACCUCAUGGGCUCGAAACUUGACAAAUACCACACCACUGUCAAUGAGUUGACACAGGGCAGCUGGCAGUGGGCCGGGCCUGAAGAGUCUCCCUGACCUUGGCACGACACUGGAUAGUGGUGACUCAUUACAUAGUUCCAUAUCCCGGGAUGGGCAGAGCUGCCUAAUUGUGGCCCCAGAAUCUUAAUACAACCCUAAAAGAAAGGUACCCUGAAAAUGGCUGAAACCGUUCUUACUGCCACACUCUCACAACUGGGUUUGAAAUGACUGUGGCUCCUUAGGGGUGUCGACAGCAGCAUGCGUUUAUUUGUACUUGUUUAAGAUAUGGAUGAAGAAGGAGUUGAGGAUGAAGGUGAAGAUGAUGAGGAGGAUGAAGGGGAGGAAGGAGAGGAGAAUGAAGGUGAGGAUGACUACUAGCACUGAUGGACUCCAACCUUCCUUUUUCUUUUUUUUUUUUUUUUUUAAUUUUCUCCAGUUCCUGGUAGCAAGUUGCAGUCCUUCCUCCCUGUCCCCUGUGCUCAGUCGCCCUGUGCUCAGUCGCCCUGUGCUCAGCCACCCUGUUUUUGAGGUCUCAACAUCAUGGUUUUCAACUAAUUGGGGGAAAAAUACCUUGAGCAAAAUACAACAGGAAAAGAAUCG